AACGAACGCUGGCGGCAUGCCUAACACAUGCAAGUCGAACGAACCCUUCGGGGUUAGUGGCGCACGGGUGCGUAACGCGAGGGGAUAUGCCUUUUGCUUCGGCAUAACAGUUAGAAAGGACUGCUAAUACCGGCUGAUGACUCCGGUCCAAAGAUUUGCUGGCAAAGGAUGAAGAGGCGAAGGAUUAGCUGGUUGGUGGGGUAAAGGCCUACCAAGGGAACGAUCCUUAGCUGGUCAGAGAGAAUGAUCAGCCACACUGGGACGGGGACACGGCCCAGACUCCUACGGAAGGCAGCAGUGGGGAAUAUUGGAAUGUGGCGGAAAGCCUGAUCCAGCAAUGCCGCGAAAGUGAUGAAGGCCUUCGGGUUGUAAAGCUCUUUUACCAGGGAGGAUAAAGACAGUACCUGGAGAAUAAGCUCCGGCUAACUCCGUGCCAGCAGCCGCCGUAACAC
rnacentral:rRNA from 1 species